CCAGCAAUACUAUUUAAAAGAAUUCAUCCUGAUGAACUCACAAGUGUAGGUAGUGUGCUAUAGGAAGGACAAGUCUAUCACUAACACCACGAGGGUCCCUUCUGGCCCAAUGAGUGGAGUUUGACAGUAAUUUUUGCUACAAGU
ensembl:snoRNA SNORA62 Small nucleolar RNA SNORA62/SNORA6 family